CAGCAGCCGCGGUAAUACCGGCGGCCCGAGUGGCGGUCACUAUUAUUGGGCUUAAAACGUCCGUAGCCGGGUUGGGAAGUCCUCCGGGAAAUCUGGCCGCUUAACGGUCAGAAUGCCGGAGGAUACUCCCAGCCUAGGGAGCGGGGGAGGCCGAGGGGAUUCCCGGAGUAGGGGUGAAAUCCUAUAAUCCCGGGAGGACCACCUGUGGCGAAGGCGCUCGGCUGGAACGCGUCCGACGGUGAGGGACGAAGGCCAGGGGAGCAAACCGGAUUAGAUACCCGGGUAGUCCUGGCUGUAAACGAUGCGGACUUUGUGUCGGACAAGCUAUGAGCUUGUCCGGUGCCGGAGGGAAACCGUUAAGUCCGCCGCCUGGGGAGUACGGCCGCAAGGCUGAAACUUAAAGGAAUUGGCGGG
rnacentral:rRNA from 1 species